UUUAAGUGCAACCAUAAGUUUUCAUGUCUAAUUUUGAUCGUCUAUCUUAUUUAAAUUUUUUUUUAUAAUUAGUAUUUUUGUUGUUAUGAGAUGAUAAAACAUAAAUAGUACUUUAUGUGUGUCUUAUGUUUUUAAUUUUUUUAAAAAAAUUUCAAAUAAGACGAAUGAUUAAAGUUGGACACGAAAAAUUAUGACUGCACUUAAA
rfam:Oryza rufipogon genomic scaffold, chr12